GACGAACGCUGGCGGCGGGCCUAAUACAUGCAAGUAGGACGCAGUUGCGAACGGGUGAGUAACGAGUAGGUAACUGCCUAGUAGCGGGGGAUAACUAUUGGAACCGAUAGCUAAUACCGCAUACUAGUAAAUGGACCUGCGUUGUAUUAGCUAGUAUGUAGGGUAAUGGCCUACCUAGGCAACGAUACAUAGCCGACUUGGGGGGGAGAACCGACACACUGGGACUUGGACAACGCUCAGACGUCCACGGGAGGCAGCAGUAGGGGAUCUUCGGCAAUGGGGGGAAACCUUACGACGCAAAGCCGCGUGAGUGAAGAAGGUUCUCGGGUUGGAAAACUCUGUUGUUCAGGAAGCGGUACUUACCCAGAAAGGGACGGCUAACUACGUGCCAGCAGCCGCGGUAAUAC
rnacentral:rRNA from 1 species